rnacentral:rRNA from 1 species
CCUACGGGAGGCAGCAGUGAGGAAUAUUGGUCAAUGGUCGGGAGACUGAACCAGCCAAGCCGCGUGAGGGAUGAAGGUACAGAGUAUCGUAAACCUCUUUUGUCAGGGAACAAAGGCGGGGACGUGUCCCCGGAUGAGUGUACCUGAAGAAAAAGCAUCGGCUAACUCCGUGCCAGCAGCCGCGGUAAUACGGAGGAUGCGAGCGUUAUCCGGAUUUAUUGGGUUUAAAGGGUGCGCAGGCGGUCUGUUAAGUCAGCGGUCAAAGCCCGGGGCUCAACCCCGGCCCGCCGUUGAAACUGGCAGGCUCGAGUUGGAGAGAAGUAUGCGGAAUGCGCGGUGUAGCGGUGAAAUGCAUAGAUAUCGCGCAGAACUCCGAUGGCGAAGGCAGCAUGCCGGCUCCACACUGACGCUGAGGCACGAAAGCGUGGGUAUCGAACAGGAUUAGAUACCCUAGUC